UGGCUGUCUCCCAGCAGGGCGAGAGGAAGUUCUGCGCACUUCAGUUGCUGCAAUGACUUGAUCCUGCCAGAAACUCAGAGAAGCAUCCCAAGCCAGCUCCGCCUGUCGCUGGUCGGGUGCCUUGCCAAGUCUCCUCACCCGCUGGAAUCUCUACUACUUUAUCUCUAAAAUGUCAGCAGGAGUUUGCCCUUUAACUGAGUGCGUGCUGCGUGCGAGGCUGAACCACGUGCAAGUUAAGACAUCGCGGUCAUCCCCACAGGAGACGACACAGCACGGUGCGAUGUACUGUUUAUGUCUGGAAGCCCGAGACACUCUACUCUGCAAAAGCAAGGAAUUCUGCACCUCCUAAUGCACUGGAGUAGAGUAGAGGCUUUUUAACCCAGGACAAGCUCAUGAAAAAGAUGAAAGGGAAAUUUUCUGACAAGUCAAACAUCCAUGACCUCCCCACCCCCCGACACUUCUGCUGGGUUUUUGGGGGGACCACCCUGAAAAGGAGAUUCACGGGCAGGAAGAUUUUUGAGGCAAUCAGAGCAUCACCUAUGAACGAGUAAAAGAAGCAAGGCUCAGAGAGGUGGGGACCACAGCACCAUUGUCCUGGGAACCGCACUCUGACAGCUCCAGAACAAAGUACUCGUUCCUCCAGCAUCAAAGCACACGUCUUGGAGCAUGCCUUUGACACCUAAAGAAUGAAGGGACAGAGAGUUCCGGGCCUUUGGCAGCAAGCCUGUCCAUUCAUACCCUUACUUCAGCUCUACACUGUGGCCAUCUGGAUGUGCCAAGACUCUCCAAACCCAAGCUCACUCACUCCCUUCUGCAUCCAUAACGUGUCUGCCCCUCCUCAGUGAGAAUACCUUUCCUCACUCCCAUAAAUCACCCUCAGAAUCCAGUCCCUUUCUCAAGGCCAACUUCAAGACCCUCACUGCACCAGCAAUCCUCUUGAGACCUCUAAUCUCCUCAUAGAACAAAUGUUGUGUUAAUGCAAUGAUAAGUUUUAUAACCUUUUUUAAAAUAUCAUAUCUAGAAGCUAUCAUGUAUUAGAUACAGGAGGUAGAGACAUGUGAAAUAAAAUUAACCAAGCCAGCUUGGUUACUAUGGUCAAUAGCAUGGAUAGCAUGUAUUUCCAUGUACCAGUUUCUCAAUCUUUAGCAUUCAUUUGCUUGUUUUAGCUCAUGCUUCAGACAGUUCCAUCACCAGCCUGUCCCAAACUUUGGGCUACAUGAUCAUCAAAGAUCCAUUCUCAUUCAGUAGUGAGUCUUAGAUGCUAUAAUUAUCUUGUUAGCUUUCAAUGAUCACUUUUGCUCUUGAUAAUUGUCACUCAGAGAUCCCGGGAUGUCUCUCUAAGCUUCAGAGAAUCGUGGGCAGAAGAUCGGAAUUGGUGCACAAUAGCAUCCCUGUACCUGUUGAGUACAGUGGUCAGUGUGAUAACCAAGUCAUGAAGAGCCAAGCCACGGCCUCUUACUUACUCUUCUCUCCCCAUCUGAGAAGUGGGGAGGCUGUAGCAGUGCUCACAAAGGCGCCUUCCAUGGCUCACGUCAUAGCUGACCCACAGUGACUCACUCACUCUCUCUCACAGGAACACACUGUGUUCUACGAGGACAUGAGGACACGGCUGCCAAACCACCUGGCAGAAGAAAACAAAUACUCAGCCACUCCCAGCCUCACCCCAGGGGGACAUGCUGAGAGCCCUGAAGGCUUGAGAGUCAGUUGCUGAUCAUGAUUUUCAGCAUAAACACAAGAACCAGUUGAACAAAUAACUGUAGAAGUGGGUAGCAGCCAGCCCUGCUUGAUUGAAAAUCACUUUCUUCCCUCCCUCAGUGAGAGGCUUUGUUCCCUAACUCCCCAUUUCCUAGUCAUGACCACUACUGGGCAGAUUGAAUGAAGCACAGCCAAAGCACUGUGCUGAGUCUUCUUCAGACCCGGCAUACGUGUUAGGCAAGGUACACAUUGCUGGAAGAACUCAAUGGAAGACAAUUCAGUCAAAUGGCUUAGGUUGCCACAAGCAGCUAUGGGAUGAGCUAUUUAGAUCACCAUCUUCAUAGUUGAAUAUACACAUCAUGAUUUAUGUCUCGGCUCAUGCUUGUCCUAGUUAGCUUUAAAUGUCAACUUGACAUGGCCUAGGGACUUCCCAGAUCAGAUUGGCCUGUGGGCAUGUCUGUGAGGAAUGCAAUUGAUUGUUAACUUAUUUAACAGGGUUCAGUCCCCUAUGGUCAACACCAGACCCAAGAAGGUAGUCCUGAACUAGUCUUCCUACCCACAAGCCUGCAAGCAAGCCAAUCAUAGCAUUCCUCCAUGGUUUCUGGUUCAGGUUUCUGCUUGAGUUCCUGUCUUGACUUCCCUCAAUGGUGGACUAUGACCUGGAAGUAUAAGCCAAAUAAACUCUUCCUUUCUACAAAA
ensembl:lincRNA A730020M07Rik uncharacterized LOC110319760